GGGUCCCUAGCUCAGUGGUAGAGCACCUGCCUUUUAAGCAGGCUGUCCUGGGUUCGAUCCCCAGGGGACCCA
rnacentral:tRNA from 1 species